UGAAGUCUUCGGAUGGAUAGAAGAACCCCUGAUGCCGUCGAGCCAAGAAAAGUUUCUAAGUUUAGCUAAUGUUGCCCGUACCGUAAACCGACACAGGUGGGUGGGAUGAGUAUUCUAAGGCGCGUGGAAGAACUCUCUUUAAGGAACUCUGCAAAAUAGCACCGUAUCUUCGGUAUAAGGUGUGGUUAGCUUUGUAUUAGGAUUUACUCCGAAAGCAAGGAAACUUACAACAAAGAGUCCCUCCCGACUGUUUACCAAAAACACAGCACUCUGCUAACUCGUAAGAGGAUGUAUAGGGUGUGACGCCUGCCCGGUGCUCGAAGGUUAAUUGAUGGGGUUAGCAUUAGCGAAGCUCUUGAUCGAAGCCCGAGUAAACGGCGGCCGUAACUAUAACGGUCCUAAGGUAGCGAAAUUCCUUGUCGGUUAAAUACCGACCUGCAUGAAUGGCGUAACGAGAUGGGAGCUGUCUCAAAGAGGGAUCCAGUGAAAUUGUAGUGGAGGUGAAAAUUCCUCCUACCCGCGGCAAGACGGAAAGACCCCGUGGACCUUUACUACAGCUUGACACUGCUACUUGGAUAAGAAUGUGCAGGAUAGGUGGGAGGCUUUGAGUAUAUGACGCCAGUUGUAUAUGAGCCAUUGUUGAGAUACCACUCUUUCUUAUUUGGGUAGCUAACCAGCUUGAGUUAUCCUCAAGUGGGACAAUGUCUGGUGGGUAGUUUGACUGGGGCGGUCGCCUCCCAAAUAAUAACGGAGGCUUACAAAGGUUGGCUCAGAACGGUUGGAAAUCGUUCGUAGAGUAUAAAGGUAUAAGCCAGCUUAACUGCAAGACAUACAAGUCAAGCAGAGACGAAAGUCGGUCUUAGUGAUCCGGUGGUUCUGUGUGGAAGGGCCAUCGCUCAAAGGAUAAAAGGUACCCCGGGGAUAACAGGCUGAUCUCCCCCAAGAGCUCACAUCGACGGGGAGGUUUGGCACCUCGAUGUCGGCUCAUCGCAUCCUGGGGCUGGAGCAGGUCCCAAGGGUAUGGCUGUUCGCCAUUUAAAGCGGUACGCGAGCUGGGUUCAGAACGUCGUGAGACAGUUCGGUCCCUAUCUGCCGUGGGCGUAAGAAGAUUGAAGAGAUUUGACCCUAGUACGAGAGGACCGGGUUGAACAAACCACUGGUGUAGCUGUUGUUCUGCCAAGAGCAUCGCAGCGUAGCUAAGUUUGGAAAGGAUAAACGCUGAAAGCAUCUAAGCGUGAAGCCAACUCUAAGAUGAAUCUUCUCUAAGCUCUCUAGAAGACUACUAGUUUGAUAGGCUGGGUGUGUAAUGGAUGAAAGUCCUUUAGCUGACCAGUACUAAUAGAGCGUUUGGCUUAUCUUUAAUAAAGCAU
rnacentral:rRNA from 1 species